UACGUAGGGUGCGAGCGUUAAUCGGAAUUACUGGGCGUAAAGCGUGCGCAGGCGGUUUGCUAAGACAGGUGUGAAAUCCCUGGGCUUAACCUGGGAACUGCGCUUGUGACUGGCAGGCUAGAGUACGGUAGAGGGGGGUGGAAUUCCUGGUGUAGCAGUGAAAUGCGUAGAUAUCAGGAGGAACACCGAUGGCGAAGGCAGCCCCCUGGGCCUGUACUGACGCUCAUGCACGAAAGCGUGGGGAGCAAACAGGAUUAGAUA
rnacentral:rRNA from 1 species